UCCUUCCCUCCACUGGUUCUCUAUGUGUUGGGAACGCUGCUCUUUCUGGCCUUAGUGCUUCUGCUGGUACUGUUUUACCAGAACAGAGUGCUCAGGAGAGUUGUCUCUAUGACGAUGACGCGUAAGUCUGAGCCUGAGGCAGUCUAUGAGGAGAUCAACCACAGAUACAUGGCUAGAAGAAGCUUCACACAAAGAGGAAGUCUCCUCUCUGAAGAACAGCAUUCUAGGUAUGAGCAUGUGGAUGAUGAGCUUCUCUCAGGUAAAAAAGACCAGAGUGUGAGUUUGUCUAACUCCAUUAACUGAAAGAUAUUAGAAUUAAAAUUAGAAAUCAGAAAUGACUACAUUUGUCCUUUCUGAGAUGUGAUUAUGAUGUAGUGUGUAGAAGAAUUACAGUAACUCCAGUGUUUUAAUGCUGACACAUGAGAUCUCACCAUCAACCUUAUCUUACUGUAAUCUCCUGAAAUCCAUCUGAUCAAAUUUAUCAAAGCUUCUUUGGAUGAGGAUUUUAUUGAGUAUAAAUGUGUUUAAAAACCCAAAACUAACACAUUGUUCUUUUUACAGUAAAGUCUGGGAUCAAAGAAAAGGCUGAGUAUUAUGAUGAUGUCAUGGACACCAGCGACAUCAUAAGUGAUCCAGGAAGAGUCGACCCACCAGAGGACUACGAUGAUGCCGUCACUGCUGGAUCCAUCCCUGAUAACGUGGAUGAGGAUGAAGCUGAGAAUUAUGAUGACGC